rnacentral:rRNA from 1 species
GAUGAACGCUGGCGGCGUGCCUAAUACAUGCAAGUCGAGCGAACAGAUGAGGAGCUUGCUCCUCUGACGUUAGCGGCGGACGGGUGAGUAACACGUGGAUAACCUACCUAUAAGACUGGGAUAACUUCGGGAAACCGGAGCUAAUACCGGAUAAUAUAUUGAACCGCAUGGUUCAAUAGUGAAAGACGGUUUUGCUGUCACUUAUAGAUGGAUCCGCGCCGCAUUAGCUAGUUGGUAAGGUAACGGCUUACCAAGGCAACGAUGCGUAGCCGACCUGAGAGGGGGAUCGGCCAACAGGGAAAUGAGACACGGUCCAGACCCCCACGGGGGGCAGGAGGAGGGAAUCUUCCGAAAUGGGCGAAAGCCUGACGGAGCAACGCCGCGGGAGUGAGGAAGGUUUUCGGAUCGUAAAACUCUUUUAUUAGGGAAAAACAAAUGUGUAAGUAACUAUGCACGUCUUGACGGUACCUAAUCAGAAAGCCCCGGCAAACUACGU